AGUUCCCCUGCAAGCAGCUCCUUUACCAGCUCCAGUGGGGAUAUUGAUGGGGACUCUGAUGACACCGUAAUAUUGCAGUGCAGUCCUGCCACAAGACGGAGAGCUGAAAACACCUCUCUUGCCAAAAUGAUUGAAGAUGUUCUAAAGAACAAACCUGGCGGAGAGAGGAUCAUCAAUGAGUAUGCUCGGACAAAAAGUCUUAACAGACGGCAGGCGGAGCGACAUGGUCAAGAUAUUGGUUGCAAAAAUAACAAGUGAACAUGGGACAAGUCCUUCAAGGCGUGUCAAAGAGGACCACGCAAAGGGGAUCAUCAACUUGUUCCCAUACCUGGCUGAUCCAAGGAGCAAGUUUGGUUAUGAACAUUUUUACAAUGCAGAAGAUGGGAGUGGGUAUCUGGCUUGGAGAUUGAAGUUUGUCCAAAAGGAAGCUUCUGAUGGACAAAAGAAGGCCAUGAGACUCAAGAACACA